rnacentral:rRNA from 1 species
GACGAACGCUGGCGGCGUGCUUAACACAUGCAAGUCGAACGGAAAGGCCCUGCUUUUGUGGGGUGCUCGAGUGGCGAACGGGUGAGUAACACGUGAGUAACCUGCCCUUGACUUUGGGAUAACUUCAGGAAACUGGGGCUAAUACCGGAUAGGAGCUCCUGCUGCAUGGUGGGGGUUGGAAAGUUUCGGCGGUUGGAGAUGGACUCGCGGCUUAUCAGCUUGUUGGUGGGGUAGUGGCUUACCAAGGCUUUGACGGGUAGCCGGCCUGAGAGGGUGACCGGCCACAUUGGGACUGAGAUACGGCCCAGACUCCUACGGGAUGCAGCAGUGGGGAAUAUUGCACAAUGGGCGGAAGCCUGAUGCAGCAACGCCGCGUGCGGGAUGACGGCCUUCGGGUUGUAAACCGCUUUCGCCUGUGACGAAGCGUGAGUGACGGUAAUGGGUAAAGAAGCACCGGCUAACUACGUG